UCUCCGUUGGUGAACCAGCGGAGGGAUCAUUACCGAGUGCAAACUCAUAACCCUUUGUGAACCUAUAUCUGUUGCUUCGGCGGCUCGCUCUCGGGCGAGCCCGCCGGUAAUAUCUGUAUCUCUGUUUGAACCCGACGAUACUUCUGAGUGUUCUUAGCGAACAGUUAAAACUUUUAACAACGGAUCUCUUGGCUCUA
rnacentral:misc_RNA from 1 species